GAUAUAUUCAUAAUCUGUCACCAAAUAUCGCCGGAACAGAGUUUCUGGAUAACCCAAUCUGUUUCAUUCAAUGCAUCAUCAGCCAAUCUUGAUCAAUUCUUCAUCAGCCAGACUUGUAAGAAUUAAUAAUUUCUGUUCCGGCGAUAUUUGGUGGCAGAUUAUGAAUAUAUC